rnacentral:rRNA from 1 species
CCUACGGGAGGCUGCAGUGGGGAAUAUUGGACAAUGGGCGAAAGCCUGAUCCAGCCAUGCCGCGUGUGUGAAGAAGGCCUUCGGGUUGUAAAGCACUUUCAGUGGGGAAGAAAGCCUUGGGGCUAAUACCCUCGAGGAAGGACAUCACCCACAGAAGAAGCACCGGCUAACUCCGUGCCAGCAGCCGCGGUAAUACGGAGGGUGCGAGCGUUAAUCGGAAUUACUGGGCGUAAAGCGCGCGUAGGCGGUCUGAUAGCCGGUUGUGAAAGCCCCGGGCUCAACCUGGGAACGGCAUCCGGAACUGUCAGGCUAGAGUGCAGGAGAGGAAGGUAGAAUUCCCGGUGUAGCGGUGAAAUGCGUAGAGAUCGGGAGGAAUACCAGUGGCGAAGGCGGCCUUCUGGACUGACACUGACGCUGAGGUGCGAAAGCGUGGGUAGCAAACAGGAUUAGAUACCCCUGUAGUC